rnacentral:lncRNA from 1 species
UAGCCCAGAGUCACUCAUAUGAUAUAAUAUCACAUUUAUUUAUUAUUUAUGGUCAUUGCUCUUAUCUUUUGCCCCAGUUUUUCUUAUCCAUAAUUUUUACACAACAUUUUCUAAUUCUCAUCUGCAUAGAUAGAUAGGUAUUUUUUGUGUUAUCAUCAGCAGUAGCAUACUUAUAUAUAACUGCAUUGUGGAUCAUUGGAAUGAGCCAAGAAUAUACGAUGAUGGUCAUAAAAAUGGAGUCUUUUUUCAACCCGGAAAAUAAGAAUGGGAUAAUGUAUGAAGAAAAAUUUCAAGAUUCUGUUUCAUGAACCUCAAGUAGUACUCUUGAAUCUGCAGAAGCUGAUUUGUUUGAUGAAGUAAACUCAUCUGAUCAGCAUCCAAAUGCAAAUGGCCCUUUACAAGACGUCUUCUUUGAUACAACAACUGCCCAUCAAGUAAGUUAUUGUUGUUCAUUUGAGUAAAAGUUUACUUAUAAGUAAAUAUGUUAAUUGAAUGGUUUUUGGUUUGCAGAAGAGGGCAUUCCGAACAUUACAGUGGCAAAUCACAAUAUUUUACUUCUUUAUCAAACAUGAGGUGCUUAGGCCACACCAAAUUUAAAGUAAGUUAUGUACCAUUUUGCACCAAACUAAGAUUCAUCUUAUAAUCAAUGCACCAAAAAGAAGUUGAACUAAAAUGUUGGUUUAAUUAAUUAUUUUUACAAUGGUAGACCAUUUCGAGUAUAUUCUAUUAGCUAGAUAAUAAUUAUCUUAUUUUUCUUGAAUGACGAAUUGAGUCGACGGAGCAAUACCAAGUGAUGUUCGUGAAAAGAUGGAAUCUUUCCAAAACAUUGAUAUAAUUGUUUGAACUUGAAAGUCUAAAAUAUGCAUGCAAUAUCAUUUGAUGACUCUAUGACCGGGAAUGGAGCCUAUAUGUGCUCAUUGGUUAAUAUAUCGAUUGGCUUACUGAGCAAUAAGGAGGUUGUUGUUCAAACAUAUGAGAGUUAUCUAGGAUAUUUGUACUAAAUCAUUUUCACCUCUAGAUUGGAUUUCAUCAAAAUUUCAACCAUUCAAC